ACAUGCAAGUCGAGCGCUGGACGCUAAUUUCAUCCCUUCGGGAUGAGAUUAACGGGAAAGAGCGGCGGACGGGUGAGUAACGCGUGGGCAACCUACCUAUAAGACUGGGAUAACUCACGGAAACGUGAGCUAAUACCGGAUAAUACUUUUUAUUGNAUAAUAAGAAGUUUGAAAGGCCGGCGUAAGCUGACACUUAUAGAUGGGCCCGCGGCGCAUUAGCUAACUGGUGAGGUAAAGGCUCACCAAAGCAACGAUGCCUAUGCGACCUGAAAGGGUGAUCGACCACACUGGGACUGAGACACGGCCCAUACUCCUACGGGAGGCAGCACCAGGGAAUCUUCCGCAAUGGACGAAAGUCUGACGGACCAACGCCGCGUGAGUGAAGAAGGUUUUCGGAUCGUAAAACUCUGUUGUUAGGGAGAACAAGUCACGUAAUAACUGACCUGACCUUGACUGCACCUAACCAGAAAGCCACGGCUAACUACGUGCCAGCAGCCGCGGAAAUACGUAGGUGGCAAGCGUUGUCCGGAUUUAUUGGGCGUAAAGCGCUCGCACGCGGUCUUUUAAGUCUGAUGUGAAAGCCCACGGCUUAACCGUGGAGGGUCAUUGGAAACUGGAAGACUUGAGUGCAGAAGAGGAGAGUGGAAUUCCAUGAGUAACGGCGAAAUGCGUAGAGAUAUGGAGGAACACCACUGGCGAACGCGACUCUCUGGUCUGUAACUGACGCUGAGGAGCGAAAGCGUGGGUACCGAACAGGAUUAGAUACCCUGGUAGUCCACGCCGUAUACGAUGAGUGCUAGGUGUUACGGCGUUUCCGCCCCUUAGUGCUGAAGUUAACGCAUUAAGCACUCCGCCUGGGGAGUACGGCCGCAACGCUGAGACUCAGAAGAAUUGACAGUGACCCGCACAAGCGGUGGAACAUGUGGUUUUAUUCGAAUCAACGCGAAAAACCUGACCAGGUCUUGACGUCCUUUCGACAUCCCUAAAGAUAGGGGAUUCCCCUUCGGCGACCAAAAGGACAGGUGG
rnacentral:rRNA from 1 species